GGCCGCAUGGCAGAUAAUGCGUCUGCCUACGGAGCAGAAGAUUGUAGGUUCGAAUCCUGCCGUGGUCU
rnacentral:tRNA from 1 species